rnacentral:rRNA from 1 species
UACGGGGGGGGGGCAAGCGUUGUUCGGAAUUACUGGGCGUAAAGGGCUCGUAGGCGGCCAACUAAGUCAGACGUGAAAUCCCCCCGGCUUAACCUGGGAACUGCGUCUGAUACUGGAGGGCUUGAGUGCGGGAGAGGGAUGUGGAAUUCCACGUGUAGCAGUGAAAUGCGUAGAGAUGUGGAGGAACACCGAUGGCGAAGGCAGCCCCCCUGGGUCAACACUGACGCUCAUGCACGAAAGCGUGGGGGAGCAAACAGG